rnacentral:lncRNA from 1 species
GGCUGCCAGCACGCUGUCACCUUUCAUUAGGACCUGCUAAUUGGUUUCACAUGUGUGUGGAACCAUCCCAGGACUGGAUUCCAAUAUGAGGAGAGAAAUGGGUUAUUUCACUGAAAGGUAUGACUGAGUUAGACUGAAGAAACUCUUAUAUGACACUGUACUAUGGCUUUAAUGAGCAUUAGUGUUAGGAUGACAUUUUGUUUAGAGAGAUAUUGAUGGUAAAAAAGAAAAGGAUUUGAACUCCAGUUCACCAUUUCCUAAGCAUGACCUUGAGCUAUUCAUUCACUCUAUGUAGUCAUUUAAUAAAUAUUUAUUGAGCCCUAUAUAGGCCAAGCACUCUGUGAGGUGAUGGAAAUUCUCCUGCCCUCAAAAAGUAACAGUAAUUAUUAUUUGCAAUCUACCUCCCUAAGGCAUAACAAUGCCUAUCUUUCAGAGUUAUGUGUAAUAGGAUUUGUAAGUGGAUUUUUUUUUGUCUCAUAAUUGUCUACUUGGCUCCAAAGUUAGAGACAAAUAGGUGAAAAUUAGGAGACAAAUAGAUGAUUGGUAAACACCAGUCAUUAAGAGGCAAAUUCAUUCUGCUACUCCGCUUACCACUGUACUCACUAAUCUUGAGGGGACUACUGAAUUGUAAAUCUUCAGCCUCAGAAAGGGUUCUGUGUCUUUUCCUUUUACUCUUUCUCAGUGCCCCUUAUGCAUAAUCCAAUGGAGUAUUCCAAGGAAAAUAUUUUUAAUGACUGGGGGUUGCCUGCAAUAAGUUGAGCCUGAAAUCUCAUUUUUCAGUUGGAUACCUACUCAUGUCAUGGAUCUGUAGUAUUCUUUUUGCUUACUCCAGCAGUAGGAAAUAAUAUAGGGACAGAACUCAAGAGAGAGAAAAUGAGCAAUAGGGCAAUGAGGCACACUCCCAUUGUCUGGUAGAAAAAAGAUGCAUGAGUCUUCCAUAUGUCAAGUAGAUACUACAAAGGUACCAGGCUUGAACUAUUGUGAAGCAAGUUCAUCCUAGACUGUGACUUACUAAGAGAAGAGACCCCAGCAGCAAAAGCCUGUAAGGUGAGUUAUGCAGGAAAUAAGGAGACUGGAAGAGGUCUACAGGAGUCGAUUUCCUAUGAAAGGAGGUUGUGCAAUGAAGAGACUGCCUGCUACAUGGAGGACAGAGGUCACAACAACAACUGGCUGGAGCAGUGGAAAGAGAACUAUGCACAAGGAUGAGGAGAAUAAUUGUGAUUGUGGGACAGGGCCCCAGGAGAGAGGUAUAGCAGACUGGCCUUGGAAAGCCUGCAGCUGCAUCAGGAAGGCAAAGCAUGCUUGGAAAAAAUGCUGACUGAAGUAAGGCAGAACCUAGAGGGUGGGUGGAUACUCCAUAACUGUAUUCAAAUUGGGCACUCUCUUGUUGUAAAGCCUUUGCGUAAGUGCAACUGAGAAAAUAUAUGGUAGAAAAAAAAGGCUAUGUUCUGACCAGCUCGAGGAUGGGGGAAUAUCAUGCAUAAUAUGUGCAAACUAUGUGAAGAAAAGUACAAGUUAAUAUGAUCACAAAAAUAUUCAGAAAAACACAGAGUGAAGGAGGUAAGACAAGAGGUAAUGAAAUAAUUAGUGAAGUAUGGGCUCCUGUGCAAGGGAAUAUCUUGAGACAGAUUUUUGAAGAGAAGUUAGAUGUGGGCUGAUGAAGAGGAACUGUCACUCCACAUUGAGGGAGUGGUCUCUGCAAAGGUGGUAGCUUAGCUUGGGUUCCUAAGAAAAGAGUCUGAGGUUAAUCUUAUGAGCACAUGCUUUAUUGUAGAGUACAAGUCCAGAGAAGCAAGUGUGACAAAAAAGGAAGGAUAGGAAACAAAAAGUCAUGUUAUUGAGCUCUGGUUAUAGGAAAUUUAAAUGGUUACUCAGUUACACUGAACAUCUCCAGAGAGAUUCAUGAAUUCACGGCACCUUAGAAAAAUUCUUUGGUGGAAAGAAGGGCAAACAAUCUAUCUACUGGCUUCUUUCCAUCUCCUGUUUCUCAUGCUUACUUGACCUAACAAAGUGUUAACUUGCACAUCUUCCCUCCAGACAGCUGCUGGGUUAGUAACUAACUCCAACUUAGUUACUGGAGCUGCUGCUGUUUCUGCUGUGAUGAGAGGUAUGGAGGCCAUGUCAAAGCCUGGCUUUUUCUCCCCAGGAUUUGCAGGGAAGGCUGCAAAAACCAGGGUGAGAGAUGCUGAGUCUUCUGAGUUUUAUGACCAUUGGAAUGGCAUGAGUCAAUCAACCAUUGCUGAGCUCCUCUGAUCAGGACUCUGGGCAAGCAACAGUCUGGGGCUGAGGGUAGAUGAGGCCCAGGAGGAUCUGAGGAAAUGUCCAAGAUAGGUCUGGAAGAGUGAGGAAAAUGGAUGAUGAAAACUUAGCAUGUCUAGAAGGAGUGAGGUCUCAACAAAUGUGUAACUUAGUGUAUGUAGUAUUGGAGUGACGUUCUAGGAAUGGCCAAAAGCUAGGAUUCCAUAGGCUGAUUUGAAUGAAUUUGAGAUGUGUGCCCAUUUUGUUGUGCUUAUUAUGGCUGAUCCUGUAGUUUUAGCAAUUCAGUGAUCAUCUCAACUUUCUUCCUAAACAGCUGAGCCUGGAAAGCUAAAACUAACACUUUUCAGACUUCAAUGAAAUUACUGUUCUGAAUAUGAUUCAGGUUCUACCAAAGAGAUGUAUUCAUGAGAACUGAAUUUAGAACUGAAGGAAGUGGGGAGAGAAGCAUGAGCUGUGAUGGUAGUAGCUGCUGGGUAAGUGGCCAGCAGCCACUAUGGUACUUCCUAUCAUGGCAGAGACAACUGGUCUCAGAGGUGCCCAGUUGUGUCUUGUGGCUUUGGACAUUUCUCCUGGAUGCUCAACCUAGAGACUGUUUAUCUCUCAAGUGAUUUGUAAACCUUUUAAUGCUCUGUGAAAAAAAAAUUUAAUCCCUUUUGCCUAAACCAGCUAGAGUGGAUUCUAUUCUGAGGAAAUGACCAUAUUUUAAAGGUUUGCUGGAGAAGUCUGGAUGGGGGGUGGAGAGAAAGAAAUAUAAAAAUAGAGAUAGAAAUAGCUAAAUGGAGGGUAGAGAUAUUAAUUCCGGCUCUUAGAUGGUGGGCAACUCACUACCCACAAUUAUUAAAUCUGAUUUUUCCUCUCAGCACACAUUCAUAUAGAUACCAUGUAUGAAGAAUACAGGAGAACCCUGAAGGUAUCCAAAUGAAAUUGACUUCCCAGUCAUCAUUAAACAUUUAAAGAACUUCAACAAAACAUGCUCCAUGUUAAGGACUUUAGCACCUAAAAAUAAGGAAAGAUGCAGCUUUUGAUUUUAAACAUUUAUUGUUUUCAAGGGAAAGCCUUCUGUAUCCCUGCACACUUUAAGCAGGUAAAUGUUAGAUUGCUGCAUCAGCUCCUGGACUCUGCAUAACUUCUGAUGUCCUUCUGGUAAACCUUGAUCCCUUAUUGCAUCAUGUGACCUCCUCUCCCCCAGCUCUAGCUCUGCCUAGCCGCAGUCCCUGGAAAGUAAUACAGUGGAGGAGGACCCCCAUGAUUACAUUCUGCGAGAGGAGUUCCUAAGCAUUGCAGCAUGAAAAACAGUGCUUAAAAGCUUAAGCAAUAUUUUUCAAAAUAUUGACCUAUCUCAGUAGGAACUGAGAUAGGCAACAAAUCUGACUGACAGAAUACAUUUCAAACUUUCAAAAUUGUGUCUUCCUCUUACUGUGGGUCCUUACCCCUGAACAAAGUUCAUCACACCUGGCUUCACGUUGCAGGGUAUAUUUUUUUGAUGCCUGCCUUAUCUGGCUUCCAGUCAUGCCCUGGAAUUUGAGUGUCUCUCAAAUGUAAAAAUCAAAAAGUAUAUUGUAAAAAUGUCUAUACUAUGCAAAGUAAUAUACAGAUUCAAUGCAAUUUCUAUCAAGAUUCCAAUGACAUUUUUCACAGAAAUAGAAAAA